GGGCAGGCAGAACGUGGCAUAGCGCCCUCCUGCUAAAGCAGGGGGGGCGCUAAGGAAAGUCCGGGCUCCGGAGGGCUGCGUAGUGGGUAACGCCCACCUUCGUCAUGUAUAAUGGCGGACGGAUUCCCGCUUCAGCAGUUGAGGGCGGGCUCGCCAGGCAUUGUGGCGAGAGAGCUACAGAGACGAGCGCCCUACACAUCGCACAUUGCUUCGCAAUCUGCGAUGUAAGCGUAAACAGGGCGGUGAAACGAGCAAUCUCUACGCGGAGCAAGGCCAAAUUUCUUCAUCCAUGCGUUCCCUUCGGAACGCUAAAAGCGGCCCGCUUGAAGAUUCCGCUCUAAAGCGGAAAUGGAUGAAGGGGUAGGCUGCUUGAGGCCGGUAGCAAUACCGGCCCCAGAGGAAUAACCACUACAGAGACGGUAUAUCGCCUCAACACAGAACCCGGCUUAUUCUGCUUGCCCUUUU
rnacentral:RNase_P_RNA from 1 species